ensembl:lncRNA
GAACUGACGGGGAGUUCUGCUUACUCAGUAGCCUGGCCAGUCACCAGGUCUCAAUUCAAUUGAGCAUCUGUAGGAUGAGAUGAAACAAGCUAUUCGGAGUAAAGAUCCACUUCCAGCCAACAGCUGAACUCCCCGUCAGUUCACUGUCACUGGACAAUCCUAGCCUUGUGGCAUGGGGCAGGGCGUGACACCUCUAUGACACUGGGCCUGUUUUUCAUGGUUUUUGCUAAGCCCCUUCGUUCCAGUGAAGGAAAUCAUAACGCUACAGCAUAGAACGACAUUCUAGACAAUUCUGUGCUUCCAACUUUGUGGCAACAUUUUGGGAAGGCCCUUUCCUGUUUCAGCAUGACAAUGCCCCCGUGCACAAAGUAAAAAGUAAGCGAUAAGAAAAAUAAAUAAUAAAAGAGCAGCAGUAAAUAACAAUAGCGGGGGCUAUAUACAGGGGGUACCGGUACAGAGUCAAUGUGCAAUGGUGUUUGUGCAACAGAGUCAAUGUCUCCAGAGUCCAAUGGUGGCGAGCUUUACACCACUCCAGCCGACGCUUGGCAUUGCACAUGGUGAUCUUAGGCUUGUGUGCAGCUGCUUGGCCUUGGAAACCCAUUUCAUGAAGCUCCCUACGAACAGUUGUUGUGCUGACGUUGCUUCCAGAGACAGUUUGGAACUCGGUAGGGAGUGUUGCAACCGAGGACAGGCGAUUUUUACACGCUAUGCGCUACCACUUUGCGGCUGUGUGGCCUACCACUUUGCACCUGUGUGGCCUGCCACUUUGCGGCUGUGUGGCCUACCACUUUGCGGCUGUGUGGCCUACCACUUUGCGGCUGUGUGGCCUACCACUUUGCGGCUGUGUGGCCUACCACUUUGUGGCUGUGUGGCCUACCACUUUGCGGCUGUGUGGCCUACCACUUUGCAACUGAGCAGUUGUUGCUCUCAGAUGUUUCCACUUCACAAUAACAGCACCUACAGUCGACCGGGGCAGCUCCAGCAGGGCAGAAAUUUUACAAUUUACGAUUUGUUGAAAAGGAGGCAUCUUUUGACGGUGCUACGUUGAAAGUCACUGAGCUCUUCAUUAAGGCCAUUCUACUGCCAAUGUUUGUUUAUGGAGAUUGAAUGGCUGUGUGCUCGAUUUUAUACAUCUGUCAGCAACGGGUGUGGCUGAAAUAGCCAAAUCCACUAAUUUGAAGGGAUGUCCACUUUUGAAUAUAUAGUGUACAUGGUUUUUGUUCAACUUUUUGUUUUCAGGUCUUCUUGAUUCUGGGUUUGUUGAGUUCAGGUCUUCUGGGUUUGUUGUGUUCAGGCGUUCUUGGUUCUGGGUUUGUUGAGGUCAGGUCUUCUUGGUUUGUUGAGUUCAGGUGUUCUUGGUUCUGGGUUUGUUGUGUUCAGGUCUUCUUGGUUUGUUGAGUUCAGGUCUUCUUGGUUCUGGGUUUGUUGUGUUCAGGUCUUCUUGGUUCGGGGUUUGUUGUGUUCAGGUCUUCUUGGUUCUUGGUUUGUUGAGUUCAGGUCUUCUUGGAUCUGGGUUUGUUGUGUUCAGGUCUUCUUGGUUCUGAAUUUGUUGUGUUCAGGUCUUCUUGGUUCUGGGUUUGUUGAUUCUACUGUAGAUCUCAGAGGGGUCCU